GGGACAUGGUUACAGGAUCUUCUGGGGUCCAAAUACCCUCUAGAGGUUUUCCACUGGCCACUUGGUGUACACCUCAUGCAAAUAAAGUAGUGGCCCGCAAGGCUGAAGUGAAGUUACAAAGUUACACUCCUAUGCAGAUAUCUGAUUGGUUCUUUUCGCAACCAAUCAGAGGUACUUACUUUCAAUUUUCCAUCUUCCAGGCAGAAAGGGGGUUGGGGGUUUGCAAAGGGAGUAGCCUCCAGUCCUUCUGUUACUUAGGUGUGGAAAGUUGGGGUUUUCCUUUUGAUUUAGUUCUACGAAGUCAGAGUGAAUCAGCCUUAGGUUCCCUGCCUCCAGACCCUAUUCUCCUGCCUCACAAGAGUUGAAGAAAGACCACCAGUGAAAUGUUGAUAAGCCGAGGUAUAGAUGAGAAUCCCAAACUGAGACAGCUUAAGAAAUGUCCAGAGUCUUGUAACAAGUGAAAAUGUCAUAUGUCAUGAGGUCAUGUUGGAAAACCUUAAAGAGGAUAAAAGAUCUUCCACAAGCAACAGUACUUCCCCUUCCUGCUGCCAUGUGAAGAAGGACGUGUUUGCUUCCCCAUCUGCUGUGAUUAUAAGUUUUCUGAGGCCUCCUCAGCCCUGCAGAACUGCUAUUUGGAAGAAUGCGAUUCAGGUACUUCCAGUCAGAUACAUCCGUGCAAGACUUGGAUAGAGAAGUAACAUAAGGAGGCAGCUGUGGGAAGACUGACCAUCUGCUUUGUGCCUGGAUACUAGCAGGAAGGAAGAGGAGGAGCAAGAAUGGAAGGCUUGUACCAACAAGUUCUUAUCCUUUUUAAUGAGGAAAACAAGAGCAUCCCUAUUCUGCUCUUAUCUCACCGAGUUCCAUGGCCAUUCUGAGCUGCAGUGGAGUCUUGGGAGGACAUUUGGCUGGAUUCAAAGAACUUUGAAGCCCAAGGGGAUGGAGGAACCACGGGAUGGAAGGUGCCUGAAUCCUGAAUGACUGUGUGGACAGUUUAUAAACAUUUGGGCAGUGCCAUCUCUAUCACAUAAAUUUAUUUUGUCUUCUUUUAUUUCUUCUUACCUUCCCAUGAUUUUCCUGGGUGAAUGGCUAAUUAGAAGAGUAAGAUGAGGUAGAGGGUGGAAUAGAGAGAUUGUAAAUUCUGCUUUGGGGAUAUUAAUCUGAGUUGUGUGUGAGAUGUUCAAGUGAAGAUGUCAAGCAAAAAUUUAGAUAUUUGCACCCCAGUGUGGUGGCUCACACCUGUAAUACCAGUACUUUGAGAGGCUGAGGCGGGUGGAUCACUAGAGGUCAGGAGUUGGACACCAUCCUGACAAACAUGUUGAAACCCUGUCUCCACUAAAAAUACAAAAAUUAGCCGGGCGUGGUUAUGGGUGCCUGUAAUCCCAGCUACUUGGGAGGCUGAGGCAGGAGAAUCGCUUGAACCUAGGAGGCAGAGGUUGCAGUGAGCCAAGAUCAUGCCAUUGCACUCCAGCCUGGGCAAUAAGAGCAAAACUUGUCUCAAAAAAAAUUUAGAUAUUUGCCUAUGGAUUUCAGAGGAGAAAUGCGGCAAGAGCAAAAGUUUCAGAGUCAAUAACCUAAUACUUGCAUUUAGCUCCAAAAGAAUUGUUGAAAUUAUAUAGGGAAAGAGGGUAGAGAAUAAAGAAGUGCCUGAAGUUGAGACUUAAGAUUCCUCAACAUUUAGAGUUUGAGUAGGAAUGGAGUUCAAGAAAGAGCAGAAGGAAAAGUAGAAGGGAUAUCAGGAGAGCAUGAGGUCAGAGAAGCCAAGAGAGAAAUAUUGUGCAAGAUGGAAGAUGUGGCCACCAUUAUGAGUUCUACUGACUGGUAAAGUAACCGUGGGAGCCAUCAGUGGCCUUGACAAGAGACAUUUCCUGGGAUGAUGGUUGGAACCUAGACUAGAGCAGAUUGAGGAGACAACCAGUAGUAAGGCUACAGAGAAAAGGGAACACUUACACACUGUUGGUGGGAAUGUAAAUUGGUUCAUCCACUGUGGAAAACAGUUUGGAGAUUUCUCAAAGAACUUAAAACAGAACUACCAUUUGACUCAGCAAUCCCAUUACUGGGUAUAUAUCCAAAGAAAAUAAAUCAUCCUAACAAAAAGACGCAUUUUCUCAUAUGUUCAUCACAAUACUAUUCACAAUACCAAAGACAUAGAAUCAACCUAAUACUCAUCAACAGUGGAUUGGAAAAAGAAAAUGUAGUAAUAUAUACCAUGAAGUACCACAGAGCCAUAAAAAAGAAUGAAAUCAUGUCCUUUGCAGCAACAUGGAUAGAGCUGGAGGCCAUUAUCCUAAGUGAAUUAUGCAGGAGCAGAACACCAACUAUCACAUAUUCUCAUUUAUAAGGGGGAGCUAAACAUUAGGUUCUCAUAGACAUAAAGAUGGCAAUAAUAGACACUGAAGACUACUGGAGGGAGGGGGUGAAAGGGGGAAGAGUUGAAAAACUAACUGUUGGGUACUAUACUCUGUACUGGGCGAUGGGAUCAUCUGUAUCCUAAACUUCAACAUCAUGCAAUAUAACCUAAUAACAAAUCUGCACUCCCUGAACCUAAA
rnacentral:lncRNA from 10 species